GGAUGUCGAAGAGUUUGACAGCUUUCACUGCAGAAGAGGAUGCAAAUGAGAGAAGUGAAUCCCCAUAAAUAGGAGCUGACUGGUCCUCUGCAGCAGAACUUGAUUCAGCAGAGAGUUGCUGCAUUGGGUAGAAGAUCCUUCAGCAGACAUCUCAUCAGCGACACAAAGUGGAAGAUGGACAGAGCAGCCAGUGUGACCAUCCUCAUCCUCCUUCUGUGUGCCAUCACUGCACAGGGUAUUCCCAUCCUUGGAGCAAAUGGACGGUGCCACUGCGCUAGGACCAGAUC